CGGUCCUAAGGUAGCGAAAUUCCUUGUCGGGUAAGUUCCGACCUGCACGAAUGGCAUAACGAUGGCCACACUGUCUCCUCCUGAGACUCAGUGAAGUUGAAGUGUUUGUGAUGAUGCAAUCUCCCCGCGGCUAGACGGAAAGACCCCAUGAACCUUUACUGUAGCUUUGCAUUGGACUUUGAACCGAUCUGUGUAGGAUAGGCGGGAGCCUGUGAAACCACAACGCCAGUUGUGGCGGAGGCGUCCUUGAAAUACCGCCCUGAUUUGUUUGAGGUUCUAACCUGGGACAGUCAUCCUGUCCGGGGACCGUGCAUGGUAGGCAGUUUGACUGGGGCGGUCUCCUCCUAAAGGGUAACGGAGGAGUGCGAAGGUACGCUAGGUACGGUCGGAAAUCGUGCUGAUAGUGCAAUGGCAAAAGCGUGCUUGACUGCGAGACCCACAAGUCGAGCAGAUACGAAAGUAGGUCAUAGUGAUCCGGUGGCUCUGUAUGGAAGGGCCAUCGCUCAACGGAUAAAAGGUACUCUGGGGAUAACAGGCUGAUACCGCCCAAGAGUUCAUAUCGACGGCGGUGUUUGGCACCUCGAUGUCGGCUCAUCGCAUCCUGGGGCUGUAGUCGGUCCCAAGGGUAUGGCUGUUCGCCAUUUAAAGAGGUACGUGAGCUGGGUUUAAAACGUCGUGAGACAGUUUUGUCCCUAUCUGCCGUGGGCGCUGGAAGAUUGACGGGGGCUGCUCCUAGUACGAGAGGACCGGAGUGGACUCACCUCUGGUGUACCGGUUGUCACGCCAGUGGCAUCGCCGGGUAGCUAUGUGGGGAAGAGAUAACCGCUGAAAGCAUCUAAGCGGGAAACUUGCCUGAAGAUAAGUCUUCCUGGAGGCUAGACCUCCCUAAAGAGUCGUUCGAGACCAGGACGUUGAUAGGAUGGGUGUGUAAGUGCUGUGAGGCACUCAGCUAACCAUUACUAAUUGCUCGUGAAGCUUGAUCCU
rnacentral:rRNA from 1 species